CCCACCAAAAACCAAAAAUGUGGAUGGGUUACCCAGAGUGCUCCAAAAGGAGCUGUGGUAGGUGAGUAAUGUCCCUUUUAGGAAGGAGAGGGCAAGGCUGGUGCCAGCCGCCGCCUUUUAACCAGCUCUUCAAGUGGUCGGGAUAAUUAUUGGGCUUAAAGUGUCCGUAGCCGGUUUAGUAAGUUCCUGGUAAAAUCGGGUAGCUUAACUAUCCGUAUGCUAGGAAUACUGCUAUACUAGAGGGCGGGAGAGGUCUGAGGUACUACGGGGGUAGGGGUGAAAUCUUAUAAUCCUCGUAGGACCACCAGUGGCGAAGGCGUCAGACUGGAACGCGCCUGACGGUGAGGGACGAAAGCCAGGGGAGCGAACCGGAUUAGAUACCCGGGUAGUCCUGGCCGUAAACGAUGCAUACUAGGUGAUGGUACGGCCAUGAGCCGUAUCAGUGCCGUAGGGAAACCGUUAAGUGUGCCGCCUGGGAAGUACGGUCGCAAGGCUAAAACUUAAAGGAAUUGGCGGGGGA
rnacentral:rRNA from 1 species